CCUACGGGUGGCAGCAGUGGGGACUAUUGGGCAAUGGGCGCAAGCCUGACCCAGCAACGCCGCGUGAAGGAAGAAGGCUUUCGGGUUGUAAACUUCUUUUCUCAGGGACGAAGCAAGUGACGGUACCUGAGGAAUAAGCCACGGCUAACUACGUGCCAGCAGCCGCGGUAAUACGUAGGUGGCAAGCGUUAUCCGGAUUUAUUGGGUGUAAAGGGCGUGUAGGCGGGACAGCAAGUCAGAUGUGAAAACUAAGGGCUCAACCCAGGGCCUGCAUUUGAAACUGUAUUUCUUGAGUACUGGAGAGGCAGACGGAAUUCCGGGUGUAGCGGUGAAAUGCGUAGAUAUAAGGAGGAACACCAGUGGCGAAGGCGGAUUGCUGGACAGCAACUGACGCUGAGGCGCGAAAGCGUGGGGAGCAAACAGGAUUAGAUACCCUUGUAGUC
rnacentral:rRNA from 1 species